rnacentral:rRNA from 1 species
UACGGGGGGGGCAAGCGUUGUUCGGAAUUACUGGGCGUAAAGCGCACGUAGGCGGACUAUUAAGUCAGGGGUGAAAUCCCGGGGCUCAACCCCGGAACUGCCUUUGAUACUGGUAGUCUCGAGUCCGGAAGAGGUGAGUGGAAUUCCGAGUGUAGAGGUGAAAUUCGUAGAUAUUCGGAGGAACACCAGUGGCGAAGGCGGCUCACUGGUCCGGUACUGACGCUGAGGUGCGAAAGCGUGGGGAGCAAACAGG